rnacentral:piRNA from 1 species
UCUAAAUGUCCUAACCUUGCUUUUUAGCUU